rnacentral:rRNA from 1 species
CUACGGGUUGCUCCAGUGAGGAAUAUUGCACAAUGGGGGAAACCCUGAUGCAGCAACGCCGCGUGGAGGAUGACGCAUUUCGGUGUGUAAACUCCUUUUAUCAGAGAAGAAAAUGACGGUAUCUGAUGAAUAAGCUCCGGCUAACUCCGUGCCAGGCAGCCGCGGUAAUACGGAGGGAGCAAGCGUUAUUCGGAAUCACUGGGCGUAAAGGACGCGUAGGCGGGUUUUUAAGUCAGGUGUGAAAUCCUAUGGCUCAACCAUAGAACUGCACUUGAAACUGGGGACCUAGAGUAUGGAAGGGGCAGGUGGAAUUAGUGGUGUAGGGGUAAAAUCCGUAGAUAUCACUAGGAAUACCGAAAGCGAAGGCGACCUGCUGGGACAUUACUGACGCUGAGGCGUGAAAGCGUGGGGAGCAAACAGGAUUAGAUACCCCGGUAGUC